GGGCGGGUGGUUUAGUGGUAAUGACGUUAGCCGCGUAAGCUAAAGACCCGGGUUCGAUUCCCGGCUCGGCCA
rnacentral:tRNA from 1 species